UGGUCCUGACCUUACAGUCAGUUUUUACUUAAUAUACACAUGCAAGUUUCCGCACCCCUGUGAGAACGCCCUCUAACUCCCCAUUGGAACGAGGAGCCGGUAUCAGGCACAAUUAUUAGCCCAAAACACCUAGCUAUGCCACACCCACAAGGGACUUCAGCAGUGAUUAACAUUGAGCAUUAGCGUCAGCUUGAUUCAGUUAAAGUAAAUAGAGCCGGCAAAUCUGGUGCCAGCCGCCGCGGUUACACCACGUGGCUCAAAUUGACGCUAUUCGGCGUAAAGCGUGAUUAAAGUUUCCUCUUAUUGUAAUUUAAUUUUAACUAAGCUGUGACACGCUUGUACCUAAGAAACCCUAAAACGAAAGUUAUUACAUCUAUAACAACUUGAAUACACGACAGCUAAGAAACAAACUGGGAUUAGAUACCCCACUAUGCUUAGCCGUAAACCUUUACUUACAUUUAAAGCGCCAGGGAACUACGAGCAAAGCUUAAAACCCAAAGGACUUGACGGUACCCCAUAUCCCCCUAGAGGAGCCUGUCCUAUAAUCGAUAACCCCCGUUCAACCUCACCACUUCUAGCCUAUCCACCUGUAUACCUCCGUCGCCAGCUUACCACGUGAGCGCCACCUAGUGAGCCCAAUGUCCUAUCGUCAAUACGUCAGGUCAAGGUGCAGUGAAUGAAGUGGGAAGAGAUGGGCUACACUCUCUACUUUAGAGAAAACGAAAAACUUUAUGAAAUAUAGUUAGAAGGCGGAUUUAGCAGUAAAAGAGGACAAGAGAGCCUCUUUUAAUACGGCACUGGGGUGUGUACACACCGCCCGUCACCCUCUUCAAUAUUAUAUUCAAGUAUUUAACCUCUAUUAAUACAACAGAAGAGGCAAGUCGUAACAUGGUAAGUGUACCGGAAGGUGUGCUUGGAAA
rnacentral:ncRNA from 1 species